rnacentral:lncRNA from 7 species
AUGGGUAUGUCCUGUAUUUCUCUUCUUUCUUGCUUAGUUCUGCUCAGCUAUUCAAGCAGCUGUCCCCUGCCUCAGUUUCCCUGUGUUACACAGAUUAUCUGUUGUUGUGUUGGGGCACUGAGACCUUCCAGAAGCGUCUGUGAUUCUUCAUAGCAUGCACUCAAAGGCAACUGUCCAGGAAAGGCUCCACAGUCUGCAGCAGCACAGGGGGAGAAAGUCUGGUGGUGAUGGAAUGGACCACAAGAAAACACAACCACCACAGUGCUCAGCACCAGGCUGGCACCUAUGCUCGGUGCCAGACCUCUGGCCAGCACAGGGCUUUGGCUUUAUUGGCUUUUCCAGCCCAUGCAUGGCUCAUCUCGCCAUUACUGAUCUGCCUGCAGGAACAAGGACGUGUCACCAGCACAGCAGCUCUGACUCAGGUCCGUGGGGAGCGAAGUGAUGCUCAUGCUCCCCGUAGCAGCUCCUCCAGCCUGCUCGCUCCAAUAAUAGCCUCCGUGUGUGAAAUUUCACCUGACCUGAACUUUCCUGAGUUUAUCCAGCCUUCACCCUGACAGUUCAGAGCAGAACUGUUUUUGUGCCUCGCAACCCAGACACCAAAUUGGAGCUGAAGUGACGUUUAUUGUUUCAACAGUGUUAUUAUAUGAAGAUUGAGCUCAUUACAAACAUGACCUGUUUUUGAGCCAGGACACAUAUUAAUUUGGAUAAAAUACCAGCUGUGUCCUCUCUCCAUAUGGCCUUAUCGGAAAACAAACUGGGUUAAGUUUCAUUCCAAAGAAUGAAAAUAUAAUUGAAUACUUGCCUCGUUUGAGGAAACUCAAAUAAUCAUUAUCGUCACGUCUCCGCUAAUCGCAGCAGAGAGGGGGCAGAGGUGUUUAUUUCUGUGUGCAUCUAAAAAUAAACCAAGGCACAAUUCCUGUGGGGGGAAACAGAGGGCAGCACGGGGCAGACUUUCCUCCAGCUCUGGGAGAAGAAGGUCGUCCCCCAACCUAUGGACCAGAGGUGCAUAUUGAGGUUUUGCUGUGUUUUUGUGGUGAUUUUUGC